rnacentral:sRNA from 1 species
GCUGGGUGCAGAGGCGCAUGCCUGUAAUCCCAGUGACUCAGGAGGCUGAGACAGGAGGACUACAAGUUUGAGGCCGCCCUUAGGGAGACCCUGUCUCAA